CAACGAGGACCAUAUCAAGCCUCCUGUCACCAACUAGUGUGGGGUACACCAGCAGAAUAUUCACCAUGAAGGCCUACAUUCUCUUGGCUCUCGUCAUCCUGGGUCAUGUGUGUCAAAUUCAAGCUGCGACGAUGAGGAAGCCAGCAAAGAGCACAGAGGACGCGACAAAACUACUCGCCAAAAAAAUUUCCCAUUCCAUCAUGAAUCAUCGUAAAGAGCUCGUCGAUGCUUUCAAAGCACUCGAAAGCUCGGUUAAGAGCAUCGGCGACGAAACCGAUGAACAGGCUAUCUCGGCCAUAGUUAUGGCUAUAGUUACGGCCGUUGCAAGUGGUGCUGUAUCCGCUGCGGUUGGGGCUGGUGUUCAGGUGGCAAUUAACAAAGGUUGAAUGCAUCCUCGAAGACGUCUGUUUUGUUCUCACUGCAAUA